rnacentral:ncRNA from 1 species
UCUGAAUGUCAACGUGAAGAAAUUCAAGCAAGCGCGGGUAAACGGCGGGAGUAACUAUGACUCUCUUAAGGGGGGAGUAACUAUGACUCUCUUAAGGGAGUAAGUAUGACUCUCUUAAGGGAGUCUGGCCUAGUUACAUAGGGUUGAUGAUGCGCAAGUUAUAGCCUCUCUCAUCCCAGCCGAACCUCACCUCCUAUAGGUUCCUGCCGGU